UACGUAGGGUGCAAGCGUUAAUCGGAAUUACUGGGCGUAAAGCGUGCGCAGGCGGUGAUGUAAGCCCGAUGUGAAAUCCCCGGGCUUAACCUGGGAAUGGCAUUUGGGACUGCAAGGCUUGAGUGCGGCAGAGGAGACUGGAAUUCCUGGUGUAGCAGUGAAAUGCGUAGAUAUCAGGAGGAACACCGAUGGCGAAGGCAGGUCUCUGGGCUGACACUGACGCUCAUGCACGAAAGCGUGGGGAGCAAACAGG
rnacentral:rRNA from 1 species